rnacentral:rRNA from 1 species
UACGAACCGUACAAACGUUAUUCGGAAUCACUGGGCUUAAAGGGUGCGUAGGCGGCCAUGUAAGUGGGGUGUGAAAUCCCUCGGCUCAACCGAGGAACUGCGCUCCAUACUGCAUGGCUUGAGGGAGACAGGGGUAAGCGGAACUGAUGGUGGAGCGGUGAAAUGCGUUGAGAUCGGAAGGAACGCCCGUGGCGAAAGCGAGGUCCUGGACGCCUACUGACGCUGAGACGCGAAAGCCAGGGGAGCGAACGGG